rnacentral:RNase_P_RNA from 1 species
UCUGGGUAAAUGCUGCAUAUAAAUAUAUGUAGAGGAAAGUCCAUGCUCGCACAAUCUGCGAUGAUUGUAGUGUUCGUGCUAAGGGAAAAAAUAACCUUAGGUAGUUAAACUAACGGCUUUGAAAUUUCCUUAAAUGGAAAAAGUAGAUAUAAAAGUGCCAAAGUGACGAAGAUCUUGGAAACGAGGGAAGUGGAACGUGGUAAACCCCACGAGCGAGAAACCCAAAUUAUGGUAGGGGAGCUUUUGCUUAGGAAUAGUGAACGAGGCAAAGGACUUAUAGUAAUAUAAGUAGAUAAAUAUUUACCGCUCAAGUAACUUGAGUACAGAACAUGGCUUAUAA